CCUACGGGUGGCUGCAGUGGGGAAUAUUGCACAAUGGGGGAAACCUUGAUGCAGCAACGCCGCGUGAGUGAUGAAGGUCUUCGGAUCGUAAAGCUCUGUCUUCAGGGACGAUAAUGACGGUACCUGAGGAGGAAGCCACGGCUAACUACGUGCCAGCAGCCGCGGUAAUACGUAGGUGGCGAGCGUUGUCCGGAUUUACUGGGCGUAAAGGGAGCGUAGGCGGACUUUUAAGUGAGAUGUGAAAUACUCGGGCUCAACCCGGGGGCUGCAUUUCAAACUGAAAGUCUAGAGUGCAGGAGAGGAGAGUGGAAUUCCUAGUGUAGCGGUGAAAUGCGUAGAGAUUAGGAAGAACACCAGUGGCGAAGGCGGCUCUCUGGACUGUAACUGACGCUGAGGCUCGAAAGCGUGGGGAGCAAACAGGAUUAGAUACCCGUGUAGUC
rnacentral:rRNA from 1 species